rnacentral:sRNA from 1 species
GCCGCAACCUGUCCCGGAGGUGUCCUGUCGCCUGUCGCCGUCGCCGCCGCCACCACCGCUGCCACUGCCGCCCUGCCGGGGCCAUGUUCGCUCUGGGCUUGCCCUUCUUGGCGCUCUUGGUGGCCUCGGUCGAGAGCCAUCUGGGGGUUCUGGGGCCCAAGAACGUCUCGCAGAAAGACGCCGAGUUUGAGCGCACCUACGUGGACGAGGUUGCAGUGAGCCGAGAUCCCGCCAUUGCACGCCAGCCUGGGCGACAGAGUGAGACUCCGUCUCCAAAAAAAUAAAAGGGGGUCCCUGAUCUCAGGGUGCUCACAGACUAAGACACAGACCAAGUUGUCCCUGUCUUCAGGAGAUGUCAGACUCUGGGUGACGGCCAGUGGGG